UACGAAGGGGGCUAGCGUUGUUCGGAAUUACUGGGCGUAAAGAGCGCGCAGGCGGUCGUUCAAGUCGCGUGUGAAAGCCCCCGGCUCAACUGGGGAGGGUCACGCGAUACUGAUCGACUCGAAGGCAGGAGAGGGAAGUGGAAUUCCCGGUGUAGUGGUGAAAUGCGUAGAUAUCGGGAGGAACACCCGUGGCGAAGGCGGCUCUCUGGGCCUGUACUGACGCUGAGGAGCGAAAGCGUGGGGAGCGAACAGG
rnacentral:rRNA from 1 species